rnacentral:tRNA from 1 species
GGGCCGUUAGCUCAGUGGAUAGAGCACCCGCCUUCUAAGCGGGGGGUUCGCGAGUCCGAAUCUCGCACGGCCCG